CCUACGGGAGGCAGCAGUGAGGAAUAUUGGUCAAUGGGAGAGAUCCUGAACCAGCCAAGCCGCGUGAGGGAAGACGGCCCUAUGGGUUGUAAACCUCUUUUGUCGGAGAACAAAACCCGGGACGUGUCCCGGACUGCGUGUAUCCGAAGAAAAAGCAUCGGCUAACUCCGUGCCAGCAGCCGCGGUAAUACGGAGGAUGCGAGCGUUCUCCUGAUUUAUUGGGUUUAAAGGGUGCGUAGGCGGUCCGUUAAGUCAGCGGUAAAAUGGCGGGGCUCAACCCCGUCGAGCCGUUGAAACUGGCAGACUUGAGUUGGCGAGAAGUACGCGGAAUGCGCGGUGUAGCGGUGAAAUGCAUAGAUAUCGCGCAGAACUCCGAUUGCGAAGGCAGCGUACCGGCGCCAGACUGACGCUGAGGUACGAAAGCGUGGGGAUCGAACAGGAUUAGAUACCCUAGUAGUC
rnacentral:rRNA from 1 species